rnacentral:rRNA from 1 species
AGUGAACGCUGGCGGUAGGCCUAACACAUGCAAGUCGAACGGCAGCACAGUAAGAGCUUGCUCUUACGGGUGGCGGGUGGCGGACGGGUGAGGAAUACAUCGGAAUCUACUUUUUCGUGGGGGAUAACGUAGGGAAACUUACGCUAAUACCGCAUACGACCUACGGGUGAAAGCAGGGGAUCUUCGGACCUUGCGCGAUUGAAUGAGCCGAUGUCGGAUUAGCUAGUUGGCGGGGUAAAGGCCCACCAAGGCGACGAUCCGUAGCUGGUCUGAGAGGAUGAUCAGCCACACUGGAACUGAGACACGGUCCAGACUCCUACGGGAGGCAGCAGUGGGGAAUAUUGGACAAUGGGCGCAAGCCUGAUCCAGCCAUACCGCGUGGGUGAAGAAGGCCUUCGGGUUGUAAAGCCCUUUUGUUGGGAAAGAAAAGCGGCAGGUUAAUACCCCGCUGUUCUGACGGUACCCAAAGAAUAAGCACCGGCUAACUUCGUG